rnacentral:rRNA from 1 species
GGGUCAGUAGGUUGGUCGUGCCACCGGUACGUACUGGUCUCACUGAUUCCUCCUUCCUGAAGAACCGUAAUGCCAUUAAUUUGGUGUUGCGGGGAAACAGGACUGUUACUUUGAAAAAAUUAGAGUGUUUAAGGGAAGCUAACGCUUGAAUACAUUAGCAUGGAAUAAUGAAAUAGGACGAUCGAUCCUAUUUUGUUGGUUUCUUGGAUUGACGUA